AAUAGAUACCCCGGUAGUCCACGCCGUAAACGAUGAGUGCUAAGUGUUAGGGGGUUUCCGCCCCUUAGUGCUGCAGCUAACGCAUUAAGCACUCCGCCUGGGGAGUACGGCCGCAAGACUGAAACUCAAAGGAAUUGACGGGGGCCCGCACAAGCGGUGGAGCAUGUGGUUUAAUUCGAAGCAACGCGAAGAACCUUACCAGGUCUUGACAUCCCGCUGACCGCUAUGGAGACAUAGCUUUCCCUUCGGGGACAGCGGUGACAGGUGGUGCAUGGUUGUCGUCAGCUCGUGUCGUGAGAUGUUGGGUUAAGUCCCGCAACGAGCGCAACCCUUGUCCUUAGUUGCCAUCAUUCAGUUGGGCACUCUAAGGAGACUGCCGUACAAAUACGGAGGAAGGUGGGGAUGACGUCAAAUCAUCAUGCCCCUUAUGACCUGGGCUACACACGUGCUACAAUGGACGGUACAAACGGUUGCGAAGUCGCGAGACGGAGCCAAUCCGAGAAAGCCGUUCUCAGUUCGGAUUGCAGGCUGCAAC
rnacentral:rRNA from 1 species